rnacentral:rRNA from 1 species
UACGUAGGGUGCGAGCGUUGCCCGGAUUUAUUGGGGCGUAAAGGGCGCGUAGGCGGUGCCGUACGUCCGUUGUGAAAUCGCUCGGCUCAACUGGGCGGGGUCAGCGGAUACGGUGGCACUUUGAGCAAGCUAGGGGGCAAUGGAAUUCCCGGUGUAGUGGUGGAAUGCGUAGAUAUCGGGAGGAACACCAGUGGCGAAGGCGGUUGCCUGGGCUUGGCUGACGCUGAUGCGCGAAAGCGUGGGGAGCGAACAGG